AGAUAGGGCAGCAUUUUGGCUCAUUUGGAGUCAGAGUGAUUGUCAGUUUUGAUUGAGUAACUUGCAGAUCUGUGCUGCUCGAGCUGCAAACUGAUUCAGAUGAUUCAGUCCGUUUUGAUGAAGUGGUUCAACUUAUUCACCAAAAAGAAUUGGUUCAAAAGAAUGAUUCGUUUGUGAACCGGACAUCACUCCGGACCGUUUGCCUGAGGCUCUGGAUUACAGUUGACCGAAUGAAAUUGAAAUUCAGUCCAACCCUGUUGCUGACAGAAACCGUACGAGCUUUGAAACGUCUCGCCUGGUGAUAUGCGAACUCCAGAGACAUUUGUACAUCUUGUUUUUGUCCUGUUUAAUUGUAUUUGCUAUCUCAGAUUGGUGCUGUGUCUUUGUUUGGUGCUCAUGAGGGAAAUGCAAAUGUGGAAAGUUCCGGAUCCCAUUUCCCCUGUUAGCUCCGUCUGUCUGUUCAGAACCAUUUGUCUUCGUAAACCACUCUCAAAUUGUUGCAUUCAGUUUAAUUUGAUAAUGUGUCUUUUGGAUAUGGUACCAUGACAAUACUAUUAUAUUUCGACAUUCUUUGAAGUGCCUUGGGGAACCAUGUAAAUACUGUGGACCAUGAAUAAUCCUUCAAUAACAUGGUUUAUAUCAGAAAACCACGUGUGUAUGUAUGUAUUUGUUUGUUUGUGAAUUUGAAUUGAUUUUUUUUAUUAUAUUUAAAUAAUUUUAUGUUAAUAAUGCUUUUUAUUUGUUUGUUUUUAUUUAAAUAAUUAAAAUCUUUGUAAGAGG
ensembl:lncRNA